rnacentral:rRNA from 1 species
UGGGGAAUAUUGCACAAUGGGCGCAAGCCUGGUGCAGCCAUGCCGCGUGUAUGAAGAAGGCCUUCGGGUUGUAAAGUACUUUCAGCGGGGAGGAAGGCGAUAAGGUUAAUAACCUUGUCGAUUGACGUUACCCGCAGAAGAAGCACCGGCUAACUCCGUGCCAGCAGCCGCGGUAAUACGGAGGGGGCAAGCGUUAAUCGGAAUUACUGGGCGUACAGCGCACGCAGGCGGUCUGUCAAGUCGGAUGUGAAAUCCCCGGGCUCAACCUGGGAACUGCAUUCGAAACUGGCAGGCUAGAGUCUUGUAGAGGGGGGUAGAAUUCCAGGUGUAGCGGUGAAAUGCGUAGAGAUCUGGAGGAAUACCGGUGGCGAAGGCGGCCCCCUGGACAAAGACUGACGCUCAGGUGCGAAAGCGUGGGGAGCAAACA